CUAUUUUCUACACUCUGGUCUUGUUUCUAAGGAGCUGUGUGGCACAUACAAUGAUUGGCACUUACAGGAACCAAGGUCUUGACAUGCCAAUAGUCUUUUGUGGACCUUGUCCCUGAGGCACCGCAAAACUGCUCCCAACCUGACCUGGACUUCAGACUACAGCUAAAUAAUCAAUUCCUUGUUUCUUAUUUGUACUUUGUGAUUAUCCUUUUUUGUUGUUGUUUGUUUUGCUUUGAUUGACAGGAACCACAUGUGUUUUCUGGUUUGGUUUUCUUAACACUCCCUUAUGUGAAGCUUGGAUGAGUGCAGCUGGCUCAGAGCCUGCCAGCUAUGUGGGUGACUCCAGCACUGAAGUUUUGGUACUCCUUUAUUGUUUAGAUGAGGAUCAUGGAGGUGAUAAUGAUUUCUGCUUUUCUCUCCAAUUUUUGUUUAAAUUAGUAACAAAAUUAUUUUACCUGUCAAUCCCAGUUCCCUCUGCCUCCCCUCCAGUGCUGCUCCCCCCCACUAACACCCUACCUAUCCCAUACCCUUUCUGUUCCCUUUCAUAGUCUGUUAUAUCUUUUGGGAUAGGGCAUAGGCCCACCCCAUUGUGUCCAGGUUUAGGGAGUAUCCCUCCAUGUGGGAUGGGCUCCCAAAGUCCAUUCCUAUGCUAGGGAUAAGUACUGAUCUACUACAAGAAGCCCCAUAGAUUUCCGAGGUCUCCUCACUGACACCCACGUUCAUGGGGUCUGGAUCAGUCCCAUGCUGGUUUCCCAGCCAUCAGUAUAGGUAGGAAGCAACCUAGAUGCCCCUCAACUGAAGAAUGGAUAGAGAAAAUGUGGUACAUUUACACGAUGGAGUACUACUCAGAAGAAAAAAAUUAACAAUGGAAUCUCAAAAUUCUAAGGCAAAUGGAUAGAACAAGAAGAAACCACUCUGAGCGAGGUAACCCAGUCACAAAAAGACAAACAGGGUAUGUACUCACUCAUAUAUGGAUUUUAGACAUAGAGCAAAGGAUUACCAGCCCACAAUCCACACUACCAGAGAAGCUACAAAACAAGGAUGACUCUGAGAGUGACAUACAUGGUCUCCCCGAGAAGGGGAAAGGGACAAGAUCUCUUGAGCAAAUAUGGUUUUCAUAAUUAUCCCCAUUAUACCAUUAUAUGCCACUAUAAUAUUAAUAUGCACAUGAAAAAUUCGUGUCUCCAUCCCAUGUUUUAAAUAUAAAUUUUACUGAUGCUGAUUCCAUUUUUUAUAAAAGUAACUGUUAAAAUUUUGGUGCAACACAUAAGCUGUUUUUAAGCGCUUAUGAAAAUACUUAAAUUGUAUUAAAUGUAUUAGAUUCUAAGUUUUAGCUUAAUUUUCCAUCUUCCAAUGAGCUAUAAAUGAGAGCCACAGUGGCUUCCACACAUACCUAUCAUAGUUCACCCUGCUCUUUUUACCCUGUAGUUAUCAGUGGUCAUAAAAUGGAAGUGAAAAAUCCCUCUGGGCCAUGUUGUUUUGUUUUUGGUACUAAUUAAAAUGUGAACCAGAUACAGCUCUACAAAGUAACACCAUGGCAACAUAAAAGAAUCUAUAUUUCACUGUCCAGCUGCAUGCACUUUGCAGGUGUUAUUUACCUUAAUCCUCACUCAAUGUUAUGAAAUAAUUGCAUUUUUUAAAAUUUGGUAAAUGAGGAAGUUCUUUCUAAGAUCACAUGCUUUGUUCAUAUUGGAGCCAACUUCUUAUCCCAGACAGUCAGAGUCUAUGAUUAGCAUCCUUACAGAAAUCAGUUUAUUAAGCAAGAUUCAAUAGGUCACAUAUAAGCUCAAGAUAUUAAAUCACAUAAUCCCAUUUUCUGAGUGAUGGCAUAAGGAAGAAGUCGUGGUUAAAAUGUGGUUUGAAAAGGUAAGGUGUUUGUGGUAGGCUGAAAAAUUAUUUCCCAAGAUAUGUGUUCCCAUUUCUAUCAUCUGUAAGGGUUUCAUUGUAGAGUGAAAAUUGUAGAUGUGACUAAACAAUCUUGAUGAUGCAUAAUAUUACAAAUUAUUUAAGUGAUCACUAAAUUCCCACAUUAGUGUUUUUAUUUCCAUCAAAAAUAUGGGAAGGGGUAUUUGACACAUGAGAGGAGGGGACAACUUGUCACAGUAACUGAGGUUAGAGUGAUAUAGUUUUAUUGAAUCUUGUCCUUUUAGCUCAUUCUUUGUCAUUGAUAUGUCAUAUGAACCAACUACAACUGAUUCCUAUCCUUAUAUCCUAGAAGUUAAAUGUCACAUGUGUCUGUUACCAGCGCUGUGAGCAUUGUACAUGUUGACAGGAAACACACCAGCCACAUUCCAAACCAAAAACACCAACCACACAGAGGAGGAGAGAGAGAGAGAGAGAGAGAGAGAGAGAGAGAGAGAGAGAGAGAAUUUUCACAAGCAUGUACAGUCUGUACUGAAAGAUUUUUCUUUUUCUUUCUUUGAUUUUCCAAACAGGAUUUCUCUGUGGCUUUGGAGGCUGUCCUCAACAAGCUCUUGUAGAUCAGGCUGGUCUUGAACUCACAGAGAUCCUCCUGCCUCUGCCUCCCGAGUGCUGGGAUUAAAGGCUUGUGCCACCACUGCCCAGCACAAGAUGUUUUUUUAACUUAUCUAGUUACUACUAAACUACUCUCUAACACAGUUGUGCGGAAUUGCAAACCCACAAGUGUGAGAAAAUAUUUAUUGUGCUAUUACUACAUUCACAGUACUACCAUGGGACUUAGCUUUCCUCACUAGUAGUUAUCAAACAUCUCCUUAGCUUCUGUUUGUAUUUCCCUAUCACUGGUGAGGUAGAGCAGCUGUUUGGACACAUUGAUUGCCUUUAUGUCCUCUACUCUGAAACUGUGUUGACUUUAUUUCUGACCUUGAACAGAUGUCCGUAUGCAUUGAUUGCCUUUAUUUAUGUCUUCCACUCUGAAGCUGCAUUCGUUUAGUUUUCACAGAGUAGUAGGUGAGCAUUAGUAGGUACUCUAUUCACCAUUUCUGUAUGUCAAAUAAUCUUCAAGUAUAUGAUAGGUAGGAUUUUAGUUGGGGGGGUGGUAGAGGAGGAAGGGAGGGAUAAGGGAACUGGGAUUGUCAUGUAAUUCAAUCUUGUUUGUAAUUCAAAUAUAUAAAAAAUAAAAAAAAACUAAAAAAAGAAGAAAAAAUUUCA
rnacentral:lncRNA from 1 species